rnacentral:rRNA from 1 species
UACGUAUGGUGCAAGCGUUAUCCGGAUUUACUGGGUGUAAAGGGAGCGCAGGCGGUCUGGCAAGUCUGAUGUGAAAGCCCGGGGCUCAACCCCGGGACUGCAUUGGAAACUGUCAGACUAGAGUGUCGGAGAGGUAAGUGGAAUUCCUAGUGUAGCGGUGAAAUGCGUAGAUAUUAGGAGGAACACCAGUGGCGAAGGCGGCUUACUGGACGAUAACUGACGCUGAGGCUCGAAAGCGUGGGGAGCAAACAGG